UGGUGUCAGCCGCCGCGGUAAAACCAGCACCUCAAGUGGUCAGGAUGAUUAUUGGGCCUAAAGCAUCCGUAGCCGGCUCUGUAAGUUUUCGGUUAAAUCCAUACGCUCAACGUAUGGGCUGCCGAAAAUACUGCAGAGAUAGGGAGUGGGAGAGGUAGACGGUACUCGGUAGGAAGGGGUGAAAUCCUUUGAUCUAUCGAUGACCACCUGUGGCGAAGGCGGUCUACCAGAACACGUUCGGCGGUGAGGGAUGAAAGCUGGGGGAGCAAACCGGAUUAGAUACCCGGGUAGUCCCAGCUGUAAACGAUGCAGACUCGAUGAUGCAUUGGCAUAUAGCCAGUGCAGUGUCGCAGGGAAGCCGUUAAGUCUGCCGCCUGGGAAGUACGUACGCAAGUAUGAAACUUAAAGGAAUUGGCGGGGGAGCGCCACAAGGGGUGAAGCCUGCGGUUC
rnacentral:rRNA from 1 species